UUGGAACAUUCUUCCUUCUACUGAGCUUCAGCCGGUGGACACCACCCUGACCUGAACUGUGGGAUACCUUGAUAAACGUGUGAACGUAUAAACAUAUCAACCAUAUAAAGCCCAUAUCAGUAGUUUGAGAACUUCUGAACAUCAGCACCUCCUCUUUUACUGUUUCAGGCAAAAGCUUGGUUGAUUCUUCUGUGGAGCUGAAAAAGUUUUCUAAGUCUUUACUCAUGGAUGUUCUUUCAGUGCUUAGAUCAGCACUGGUAGAUCAUCUAAUUCAUCCUAAAGGUGUUGGAAGGGGUUGAGGUCAAGGCUUUGAGAAGGUCAGACAGCUCCUUCCACACCACAUUCAGCAAAUCAUUUCUUUAUGGGCUGUAGGUUCUGAAUGGGUCAUUGUGAUGCUGAAACAGGAAGAGUUGGAACCACAUCAUUAAAAACAAUAUGUUUUUAUAUUGAACAGUUGCUGCAUUUGUUUAUGUCAGUGUUCAUAUAAAACAAGUAUAUCCAGAUUUAUACUGAGUUGCUAUUUAAAAAACUUAUUAGUAAUAUUAUUUUCUUUUUUUAUUCCUAUUAUUUGUAUAGUGGAUGAUAUCAAUAAUAGUUUUGGUGAGUUAAUUGUAAGUCAGUUAUCAGACAUGAGUUUGAUCAUACAGAUGCACCAAAGAUGAAACUGAUAAAUAUCAAAACACUAUAUGAAAUUUGCAUGAGUUCAUUUUGUGAUCAGAUUUGACCAAACACAGCUUUGAUGAAUAAAGACUGAGUUUAUUUAAUGUUUAUUUUAUGACUGAGUUCAUUUAAUGGAGUUUAUUUAAUAUGAUGUUGGUGAUGCGCCUGACAAAGCACCAUUUCACCACAAAGGGGAGGUUCUUUACUGUACAUUAUUUUCUGUUUAUAAUAAUAAAGUGAGAAGUUACAUUUUUACAUAAACACAUCAUCACCCACUUCAUGUCUCACAAACAAAUGCAAAUCUCCCACACAAAAUAUCAUCCAUUUUACGUUUCUGUCAUUUGUUUUUUCUUUCUUCUUUGGUGUGUUUGUUUAUAAGAGAGAGGCAUACAGGAUAAAUUCAAUUAUGUUUUUUUUCUUCUUAAUUCCUUGUAUGAGAUGUUGGUGUUUGUAUAGAUUGUAUACGUAGUUCUGUGUAGAACCGUAAAUGUGAGGAAGUUUUCUCCAUCUCUCUACAGAUUAUUUGACUGCAGGAUUACAGAGGAAGGCUGUAAAGCUCUGGUUAAAGCUUUGAAAUCAAAUCCUUCACACUUGAGAGAGCUGAAUCUGGGUUGGAAUGAACCAGGAAAGUCAGGAGUGAAGAUGCUUUCUGCUCUACUAGAAGAUCCACACUGUAAACUGGAGAAACUAAACUUCUGAAAACCACCUGCACUUGACCUGCUAUGAGCUUCUCAAACUCUGGGCUGAUGAGCAGAGGACGACGUCUUAUAGAACCUACAGAUUGUCUUGGUUGUCAGGUUUGUUCACUCAUUGGCCAAAUCUGUGAUCACAGAUGCAGGGAUUUCUUUAUUUUCCUGGAUACCAUUGGCUGCACCUCAGAUAGUACAUCUGUCAAUCUCCUCACAUUUGAGGUCGACCCCACAUUGUUUAGAGGAACACAAGAUGCUCCUCUUCCUCUCAAAGCACCUGGACUCCUGGGAUCAACAUCAACCCUCUCAAACCAGUGGAAAUGUUGACAGACUCUCAUAAACUCACUGUAGAAAUCAAGACUGCAGCUGGGAGAGUUCAGCGUCCUUCAGGUUCCUGGAGGUCAGCGUCUCUGUUUAACACACAGUCAUUGUGUUGUAUGUGUCUGUCAGAAUCUCAUCAUAUGCUGAUUUGAUUAUGCAGAAUUCACAUGCUUGAACGGUUUAAGAAUAUACAGAGUGUGCAAGAGAGUGUUUCUUUCUCAUGUUAGGUUACUGUUUUCAGUUUUGAUUUGAUGUGUACUUUAUGUAAAGCCUUUUAAUUAUUUUAUGCAUUGUUUUUUUCACCCCUAUUUUAAUAAUAAAAGUCUGGGGACAUAGUAA